rnacentral:miRNA from 1 species
AUUUUAUUUGCCUGGGAAUCCUGUAAAAAUACAGAUUCUGACUCAACAGACAUAGGCUGGGGCCUGAGAUUCUGCAUCUUUAACAAGUUCCCAGUGUUGCCUCU